UCUCCGUUGGUGAACCAGCGGAGGGAUCAUUAUAGAGUUUUCUAAACUCCCAACCCUUUGUGAACUUACCUUUGUUGCCUCGGCGGGGCCUACCCGGUACCGACCCCUUUUGGGCGAAGUUACCCUGUAGCCCGCCGGAGCUACAAAACUCUAGCUGUUUUAGUAACCUUCUGAGGAACAAGCAAAUAAAGUUAAAACUUUCAGCAACGGAUCUCUUGGUUCUGGCAUCGAUGAAGAACGCAGC
rnacentral:misc_RNA from 1 species